rnacentral:rRNA from 1 species
GCGAUAAAUCAUUCAAGUUUCUGCCCUAUCAGCUUUGGAUGGUAGUGUAUUGGACUACCAUGGCAGUCACGGGUAACGGAGAAUUAGGGUUCGAUUCCGGAGAGGGAGCCUGAGAAACGGCUACCACAUCUACGGAAGGCAGCAGGCGCGCAAAUUGCCCAAUCCCGACACGGGGAGGCAGUGACAAGAAAUAACAACUCUUGGAUUUCUAAGAAGUGUAAUGAGGAUAAUUUACAACCCUUACCGAAAGCAAUUGGAGGGCAAGUCUGGUGCCAGCAGCCGCGGUAAUUCCAGCUCCAAUAGCGUAUAUUAAAGUUGUUGCAGUUAAAAAGCUCGUAGUUGAAGUUCUGAUUGUUCGGGCCUCGCGCUUUAUAGCCGAGGAACCGACAGUCAUCCGCUUGCAAAUAUAUGUUCGCCUUUAACCGGGUGGCUAUAUGAGUAAGCAAUUUACCUUGAGAAAAACAGAGUGUUCCAGGCAGGUUUGUCCGGAAUGCAUUAGCAUGGAAUAAUAGAAUAUGACAGAAGUCGAUUUAUUGGUUUAAGGCUUUAGUAAUGAUUAAUAGGAACAGUCGGGGGCAUUGGUACUUGACAGUCAGGGGUGAAAUUCUAGGAUUUGUCAAAGACUAACAAAUGCGAAAGCAUUUGCCAAGGAUGUUUUCAUUAAUCAAGAACGAAAGUUAGGGGAUCAAAGACGAUCAGAUACCGUCCUAGUCUUAACUAUAAACUAUACCGACUCGGAUUCAGAUGAAUCAAAAAGUUCAUUUGGGACCGUAGGAGAAAUCAAAGUUUUUGGGUUCUGGGGGAAGUAUGGUCGCAAGGCUGAAACUUAAAGGAAUUGACGGUUUUGCACCACCAUGGAGUGGAGUUUGCGGCUUAAUUUGACCCAACACUGGGAAACUCAUCAGGGCAAGAAGAUUUUAGGAUUGACAGAUUGAGAGUUCUUUCUUGAUUGGUCUAGUGGUGGUGCAUGGCCGUUCUUAGUUGGUGGAGUGAUUUGUCUGGUUAAUUCCGUUAACGAACGAGACCUUAACCUGCUAACUAGUAUUAGUAUCCCAAAUACUAACUACUUCUUAGAGGGACUAUGUGAUGUAAUCACAUGGAAGUUUGAGGCAAUAACAGGUCUGUGAUGCCCUUAGAUGUCCUGAGCUGCACGCGUACUACAAUGGCACUUUCAACGAGCAUUUCCUGAUCCGAAAGGAUUUGGGUAAUCUUUUUAGUGAGUGCCGUGAUUGGGAUAGAUCUUUGUAAUUAUGGAUCUUGAACUAGGAAUUCCU